rnacentral:rRNA from 1 species
UACGUAGGUGGCAAGCGAUACUCGGAAUCACUAGGCGUAAAGCGCAGGUAGGAGGUUUGGAAAGUCUCUUGUGAAAGCUCCCGGCUCAACUGGGAGAGGUCAAGGGAAACUACCAGGCUAGAGUGCGGUAGAGGUAGCUGGAAUUCCCGGUGUAGCGGUGAAAUGCGUAGAUAUCGGGAGGAAUACCUAUGGCGAAAAGCAGGCUACUGGACCGUCACUGACUCUGAUCUGCGAAAGCUAAGGGGAGCAAACAGG